rnacentral:rRNA from 1 species
AUGAACGCUGGCGGCGUGCUUAAUACAUGCAAGUCGAACGGAAGACUAGAAAUAGGAAUUAGUGGCGAACGGGUGAGUAACGCGUUGGUGACCUGCCCCGAAGAGGGGGAUAACAGCUCGAAAGGGCUGCUAAUACCCCAUGAGAUCUCUAUGGUUAGAGUGUAGAGAUGAAAGGGAAACGUUCGAAAGGACGACCCGCUUUGGGAGGGGCCUGCGUCCCAUCAGCUAGUUGGUAAGGUAAAAGCCUACCAAGGCGAAGACGGGUAGGGGGCCUGAGAGGGUGACCCCCCACACUGGCACUGAAACACGGGCCAGACACCUACGGGUGGCAGCAGUAGGGAAUAUUGCACAAUGGGCGAAAGCCUGAUGCAGCAACGCCGCGUGCGCGAAGAAGGCCUUCGGGUUGUAAAGCGCUUUUCGGGGAGAAGAGGAAGGACAGUAUCCCCGGAAUAAGGCUCGGCUAACUACGU